GUCUGACGGAGCACGCCGCGUGAGUGAUGAAGGUUUUCGGAUCGUAAAACUCUGUUGUUAGGGAAGAACAAGUACCGUUCGAAUAGGGCGGCACCUUGACGGUACCUAACCAGAAAGCCACGGCUAACUACGUGCCAGCAGCCGCGGUAAUACGUAGGUGGCAAGCGUUGUCCGGAAUUAUUGGGCGUAAAGCGCGCGCAGGCGGUUUCUUAAGUCUGAUGUGAAAGCCCCCGGCUCAACCGGGGAGGGUCAUUGGAAACUGGGGAACUUGAGUGCAGAAGAGGAGAGUGGAAUUCCACGUGUAGCGGUGAAAUGCGUAGAGAUGUGGAGGAACACCAGUGGCGAAGGCGACUCUCUGGUCUGUAACUGACGCUGAGGCGCGAAAGCGUGGGGAGCGAACAGGAUUAGAUACCCUGGUAGUCCACGCCGUAAACGAUGAGUGCUAAGUGUUAGAGGGUUUCCGCCCUUUAGUGCUGCAGCAAACGCAUUAAGCACUCCGCCUGGGGAGUACGGUCGCAAGACUGAAACUCAAAGGAAUUGACGGGGGCCCGCACAAGCGGUGGAGCAUGUGGUUUAAUUCGAAGCAACGCGAAGAACNNNACCAGGUCUUGACAUCCUCUGACAACCCUAGAGAUAGGGCUUCCCCNNCGGGGGCAGAGUGACAGGUGG
rnacentral:rRNA from 1 species